rnacentral:rRNA from 1 species
AAAACUGCGGCAGCUGAUGCGUGCUUACUCUGCAGUCGAGCGGAAGAGGUAUCUUGCUCUGAUCUUAGCGGCGGAGGGGUGAGUAAUGCUUACGAAUCUGCCUAUUAGUGGGGGACAACAUCUCGGAAGGGAUGCUAAUACCGCAUACGUCCUACGGGAGAAAGCAGGGGAUCUUCGGACCUUGCGCUAAUGAUUGAGCCUAAGUCGGAUUACUGUUGGUGGGUAAGGCCUACCAAGGCACGAUCUGUAGCUGGUCGAGGGAUGAUCCGCACGCUGGGACUGACACGCCAACUCCUACGGGAGGCAGGCGUGGGGAAUAUUGGACGAUGGGGACCUGAUCCGCCUGCCGCGUGUGUGAAGAAGUUAUGGUUGUAAGCCAUUUAAGCGAGGAGGAGCUUUAUUAAUACCUAGAGAUGUGGACGUUACUCGCAAAUAACACCCGGCUAAUCUGUGCCAGCAGCCGCGGUAAUACAGAGGGUGCAAGCGUUAAUCGGAUUUACUGGGCGUAAAGCGCGCGUAGGCGGCUAAUUAAUCAAUGUGAAAUCCCCGAGCUAACUUGGGAAUUGCAUUCGAUACUGGUAGCUAGAGUGUGGAGAGGAUGGUAAAUUCCGGUGUAGCGGUGAAAUGCGAAGAUCUGGAGGAUACCGAUGGCGAAGGCAGCCAUCUGGCCUAACACUGACGCUGAGGUGCGAAAGCAUGGGGAGCAAACAGGAUUAAUACCCUGGUAGUCCAUGCCGUAAACGAUGUCUACUAGCCGUUGGGCCUUUGAGCUUUAGUGGCGCAGCUAACGACGAUAAGUAACCGCCUGGGGAGUACGUCGCAAGACUAAAACUCAAAUGAAUUGACGGGGCCCGCACAAGCGGGAGCAUGUGUUUAAUUGAUGCAACGCGAAACCUUACCUGGCUGACAUAGUAAGACUUUCCAGAGAUGGAUUGUGCCUCGGACUUACAUACAGGUGCUGCAUGGCUGUCGUCAGCUCGUGUCUGAGAUGUUGGGUAGUCCGCACGAGCGCAACCUUUUCCUUAUUGCCACGAGUAAUGUCGGACUUUAAGGUACUGCCAUGACAAACCGAGGAAGCGGGAGACGUCAAGUCAUCUGGCCUUACGGCCAGGGCUACACACGUGCUAAUGGUCGGUACAAAGGGUUGCUACACAGAUGUGAUGCUAUCUCAAAAAGCCGAAUCAUCCGGAUUGGUCUGCAACUCGACUCCAUGAAGUCGGAAUCGCUAGUAAUCGCGGAUCAGAAUGCCGCGGUGAAUACGUUCCCGGGCCUUGUACACACCGCCCGUCACACCAUGGGAGUUUGUUGCACCAGAAGUAGCUAGCCUAACUGCAAAGAGGGCGGUACCACGGUGGCCUUAAUCCGU